UACGUAGGUGGCUAGCGUUACUCGGAAUCACUAGGCGUAAAGCGCAGGUAGGCGGUUCGGUAAGUCUCUUGUGAAAGCUCCCGGCUUAACUGGGAGAGGCCAAGGGAAACUGCCGGACUCGAGUGUGGCAGAGGAAACUGGAAUUCCCGGUGUAGCGGUGAAAUGCGUAGAUAUCGGGAGGAAUACCUAUGGCGAAAGCAGGUUUCUGGGCCAUCACUGACGCUGAGCUGCGAAAGCUAGGGGAGCAAACAGG
rnacentral:rRNA from 1 species